GUCGGUAGCUCAGCUGGAUAGAGCAUUCGCCUUCUAAGCGAACGGUCGUGGGUUCGAACCCCACCCG
rnacentral:tRNA from 1 species